CCUACGGGGAGCAGCAGUAGGGAAUCUUCCACAAUGGGCGCAAGCCUGAUGGAGCAACACCGCGUGAGUGAAGAAGGGUUUCGGCUCGUAAAGCUCUGUUGUUGGAGAAGAACGUGCGUGAGAGUAACUGUUCACGCAGUGACGGUAUCCAACCAGAAAGUCACGGCUAACUACGUGCCAGCAGCCGCGGUAAUACGUAGGUGGCAAGCGUUAUCCGGAUUUAUUGGGCGUAAAGCGAGCGCAGGCGGUUGCUUAGGUCUGAUGUGAAAGCCUUCGGCUUAACCGAAGAAGUGCAUCGGAAACCGGGCAACUUGAGUGCAGAGGAGGACAGUGGAACUCCAUGUGUAGCGGUGGAAUGCGUAGAUAUAUGGAAGAACACCAGUGGCGAAGGCGGCUGUCUGGUCUGCAACUGACGCUGAGGCUCGAAAGCAUGGGUAGCGAACAGGAUUAGAUACCCGGGUAGUC
rnacentral:rRNA from 1 species